GUCCGAGUGGGGCUGGAGAAGCCUCUAUCGGGCUCCCUUCGAGUGACGGCGCCCAGUGGGCGGCUGCGGAGCGCAGGUAGGAGGGAACGGGUUGCACAAAAUGGCAGUGCCUUCCGAAAACAAGACUCAGAUGAAACUCUUCUUCAGAAAUUAACUGGAGGAAAACACCUUAGAAAACUCGACCUUUUGUUUCACUUUUUUUUUUUUCCCCCUUAAGUUUCCAAAGGAAUACGAGCUUCCCUUCUUCUCUAGGAAGAGGUAGCCAUUGCUCUUCUUUACACUAGACAUUUCCAAUUUGUUCCAUCCGUCAAAAUGGGACUAUGAGAGGUUUUGGUGCAAAUUCAUUAUCUCUGGCAACGCAUAACUUAUAAUAGGAACUGAAAAAGACCGUGGCAAUGGAUGAACAAUAGGGCUUCAGUUCAUCAGCGACAAAAGCGUUGGGGAAAUUGCUUGAAUUUCAGAGCACGUCCUCCUCAGCAGAGAGGGCUGGACUAGACCUUGGCCAACUCCCCCAAAAAACUUGCAGAGCCUCACAUACAACAGUUCACUUUCUACUCCAGGGCAUAGGAAGCGUUGUGGAAAAAAAGAGAAAAAAUAUAAUGGCAAACCCAAGCAAAAUUUCUGUGUUUCUCUCCCAUUUUUCUGGAUGGAACAUUUCUAACUGGUUUAGAGUCGUUGGAGCAAGAAAAACACCGUGGAGCUAAGCAGCACUUUUAAAUAGGGAUGGCGAGGCGGAAGAUAUGAAUUUCUGGAAAACUGAAAGACCUUUCUCUGCUCCGAGGAGCUUUGGCCUUGGGGAUCUUUGUUUGUCACCGUUGGCUCAGCUUUGCCCCUAGAUCUGGGGUCACAUCUUUCCCUGAUAAAGGCGAAGAAAUGAAGGCAAUUCUUGGCACAGAUGCUGCCCACAGCAAGCUGCAGUAGUGGGACUGGAAUAACUGCUGCAUCACUAACACCUGUGAGCAUCACCUGGGACAGAGUAGUGUAUGGCUAGUGACUUUUCUUCCUGAGGAGAAUGGCUGAGAUGUCUGUUUGGAGUUAUUCCUGGAAUUAGACCAGCACGAGGUCUCCUCUACCAGUCAGAGGCACAUGAUGUGCUCUCAGUGGAGAAGAGGCUGGGCAGCAGUUGUUGGAGCAGAUACGUGGAGCUUCUGGAGGUCUAUCUGAGCUGUUGGUGACAACUUCUCAUGCUCCUUUCCUGGACAAGAUUCUCAUUUUGGUACAGAGCACUUCAACACCUAAUCCCCUUGAUCCCCUCUGGGAUGAACAUCUCUGACAGGCUGACUGUUAACUCAGGAAAAGAUGAAGAAAAAAGAAGGAAGACUUAAAAGACAUCCAAAUGUUAAUGGUCUUCCUCUUCCUGUCCUGGAGUAAGCUUUAUGCCUCCAACCCUUUUUCCUAAUUCAUUGAGUAAUGCUGGUUUACCACCAGCACAGUGGUUCUUUCAAAGCCAUACUUUUGAAUGACGCUUCCUAUUUCAGCUUUUCUUCAGGCAAAGCAAUUGUGUCUGAUCUCCAUAAGUAGAGCAAGUGCAAAUUUGGAGUGAAAGAUGAGGCAACCUGGCACACCCUCAGUUACAAACUGUCUAGGGGCUCAAAUAGCUUUUGAUAUAACUUAGAUCAACCUGAAGAUGAUCUCAGUGACCUCUAUCUGUCCCAUAGGAAGCAGUGCACUGGGUUAAGAUGAGGGCAAUAAUUACGUAUUUUGCCCUGCCUUACCUCUCUGGUCAUGAUCCCUCCUUACCCAACCACUCCUAUGAACAAGAAAUAGCAAAUG